UAAUUCACACAUUGACAAGGUACGGAAAUGCCGAAUAUUAUAAUAAAUCAAAUUAUUUCUAGUUUACCCUUCAAAUCCUAAAUCUCAAAAACUCUGGUACAGUUUCUUUUAAGUGAUUUAACUUACAUUAACCGAAGUGACAUUUACAAUUUUCGUUUCAAACAAUAUCUACAUAUAAAGUACUGUGUUAUGAAGAACUGGCCAUAGCAAGAUUUUGCUCUUGAGUUCAGUAAUUCUCUAAGUUUUAGUAUACCAAUUCCACAUGCAUAUCGAAUAAUGCGCAUCCUUUUAUUUCAUUUUAGGUACUUUUUCAUGAUAGUUUGACAUUUAUUUUUUAAAUCUAAAAAAUAAUAAUAAUAAUGUAAUGCAGAAGCUGUUUCAGGUAUCAACAUACCAAUAAAUUCUAGGAUUUCAAUCUAAGCUUAAUCACAAACUUGCGAUUAUAUUUUUUGGUAAUGCUAAACCAUCGUUUGAAGGAUUUUUUAAACCAUUUUAAUUACGUGUUUUGAUAUCUUUGAUACGGUAAGAAAUGGAGCUUUUGUUUCGUCAAUUGCCAAUCUACAUUUUUCU